AGGAGGCUGCUUCUGCACGUGGAUUCUCAGACAGAAACUGACUUGCUGAGGAGGCUGAGUGGAGCUGGCGUUGGCACCCUGGUCCCGGGCCACCGAUUUGAUUAGGAGUUUGGGGGAAGCUAUUAAUUUUAACUGAAGUUUAACCAUCUCCCUGCCUACUGGUUUCUAUCCUGCCCUCCUUGACGAAUGUAUUGCUGUAGAUUUUGAGGUUACUGGGAGCAACCUUGGCAUUCCAGGGAAUAGGAAGGAAGUGUCAUCCUGCACAGGCGAGCAGAUUCGCCACCUGCAAGCUGCAGAAAUAGAAAAUUGCCCCCUGAAGCAGAAUCUAUAGGCAUUCUCAAAGUCUGGCUACAAAUCCUUUGGAUUGAGAGCUUCCCCUGUGAUCUCAAAGCCCCAAGUUCCAGUGAAGAAAACAAGACACAAAGUGAUAUGUUUAUAUAUCGAUAUAACUCAAAGCCAAAAACCAAAUAAUACCUAUGUUGUUC